UGCUUUUCAUACCUACUGCAUGUAAUCAGUACGUCAGCGUUGAGUUGAAGACCUACGUACCAUGUUAUCAGCAGUCAGUUCCCUUUAUAUUCCAUACACCUCUGAUUGCAUAUUAUAUCACUCAAUGAAGCACACAGUAUUAUGUAUAUUGUCAAAUUAUUAAAUUAAUAAACAGGUGGUCCCCGAGAUACUCGAUACCUCUAAUACGCGAAUUCGGAGAUACGCGGUUUACUAAUUUUGGGGCCCCUUUCCGUUUCAAGUUCGUAGACUGAAAUUUCAGCUUCGUAUAGCAGUUUUAGAGCAGCUAUCUAGUUUCAUUCACGCAAGGUGCCUAGACAGACUACAAAUGGGUUCUUAGCUCUGAUUUUGGUAGCUAUGAUGGAUGGCGAUUUGUAUGGAGAUUUGCAGAUGACAUCCAGCUGUUCAAAUAGCUUACAAAAAUUCUCCUACGUUCAACACUCAUACUCUGUUUCUCUAUCUUUUUUUACAUUACCUU